CCAUGACAGUCUAGAGAGAGGAAAAGUACUCUACUGCCUCUUCACUGGACAUAAACAGGACCGGUGUCUUUACACAGCGGAGAGCAUAGAAAGAAUGAAGACUGUUUCUGUUCUCCUCAUCUUCCUACUCUCAGGAGAGAUGGAAGCUGAUGGUAUUGACAUCUCAUAUUACAAAGGAGGAACUGUCAUCAUCGAACAAAGACGAAGUGUGAGUCAGGAUUUCUGCAAGGAGAUUAAAUCUGGCGGGUGCAACAACUUAGCUGAUAAAGGCUUGAAUGGGAGAUUGUCUGUUGAACAAUCAGAGAACAGAGAUUCCACGACUGUGUCGAUACACUCACUGAAACCAGAGGACGAGGGCGAAUACAGGUUUGGACAUCAAGAACUGGAGUUAGAACCGCUCACAGG
ensembl:lncRNA